GACAAUUUUGACCUCAAAUCAGGUAAGACUACCCGCUGAACUUAAGCAUAUCAAUAAGCGGAGGAAAAGAAACUAACAAGGAUUCCCCUAGUAACUGCGAGUGAAGCGGGAAAAGCUCAAAUUUAAAAUCUGGCAGUCUUUGGCUGUCCGAGUUGUAAUCUAGAGAAGUGUUACCCG
rnacentral:rRNA from 1 species